UGGUUCUGGCAUCGAUGAAGAACGCAGCGAAAUGCGAUAAGUAAUGCGAAUUGCAGAAUUUCCGUGAGUCAUCGAAUCUUUGAACGCACAUUGCGCCCGUUGGUAUUCCGACGGGCAUGCCUGUUCGAGCGUCAUUAUCCCCCCUCCAGCCUCCGGGUUGGGCGUUGGGCCAGGACGGAGUUUCGACCCCGACCGGCCUCAAAGAGAAUGACGGCGUCCCUGGGACCCCCGGCACACUGAGCUUGUCACGAGCACGUGUCGCGGUUGGCCCUCGGCGGACCCGGUCGACCGGCCUUGCCUCACGGCGGGCCUCUUUUUCGUACGGUUGACCUCGGAUCAGGUAGGAUUACCCGCUGA
rnacentral:misc_RNA from 1 species